GAUGAACGCUAGCGGCAGGCCUAAUACAUGCAAGUCGAACGAGAUUAAGAGGCUUGCUUCUUAUGAAAGUGGCGCACGGGUGCGUAACGCGUAUGCAACCUACCUUAAUCAGGGGGAUAGCCCGAAGAAAUUCGGAUUAAGACCGCAUAAAAACACAGGAUAGCAUUAUCCAAUGUUCAAAUAUUUAUAGGAUUAAGAUGGGCAUGCGUGUCAUUAGCUAGUUGGCGGGGUAACGGCCCACCAAGGCGACGAUGACUAGGGGAUCUGAGAGGAUGACCCCCCACACGGGUACUGAGACACGGACCAGACGCCUACGGGAGGCAGCAGUAAGGAAUAUUGGUCAAUGGAGGGAACUCUGAACCAGCCAUGCCGCGUGCAGGAAGACAGCCCUCUGGGUCGUAAACUGCUUUUAUUCGGGAAUAAACCUUUCUACGUGUAGGAAGCUGAAUGUACCGAAGGAAUAAGGAUCGGCUAACUCCGUG
rnacentral:rRNA from 1 species